rnacentral:tRNA from 1 species
GGAGUGGUAGUUCAGUUGGUUAGAAUACCGGCCUGUCACGCCGGGGGUCGCGGGUUCGAGUCCCGUCUACUCCG